rnacentral:tRNA from 1 species
UCCCUGGUAGUCCAGCGGCUAAGACUCUGCACUCCUAAUGCAGGGGGUCCGGGUUUGAUCCCUGGUUAGGGAA